rnacentral:sRNA from 1 species
AAUUUAGAGCAGAAGCAGCCAUCGAUAAAUACCAUGCCAUCUUCUAAGGGCACUGUGCGCCUCUGUUAUUAAGAGGAGCUCUUUGUUCUGUCCUUGGUGUGUGGUGCAUUCGUGAAAUUCUGCAGCACAUCGGCGAAAGAAAACGUUGUGUGACGUGAUCCUCAUGGUCCAGGAAAGAAAGAUACCUGCUCAUCGUGUUGUUCUUGCUGCAGCCAGUCAUUUUUUUAACUUAAUGUUCACAACUAACAUGCUUGAAUCAAAGUCCUUUGAAGUAGAACUCAAAGAUGCUGAACCUGAUAUUAUUGAACAACUGGUGGAAUUUGCUUAUACUGCUAGAAUUUCCGUGAAUAGCAACAAUGUUCAGUCUUUGUUGGAUGCAGCAAACCAAUAUCAGAUUGAACCUGUGAAGAAAAUGUGUGUUGAUUUUUUGAAAGAACAAGUUGAUGCUUCAAAUUGUCUUGGAGAAGCAGAAAAAGUUGAUCAGAGCCUUCCAGAGUGUGGUAUGCUUUUCACUGUGUGAUGAUCCUUAGUGGCACAUGAAUGAACGUCCAGAUGUUUGUGCAGUAGCCCACCCUUAUCUGCAGGAUA